AGCCAUAACAAGGUUUACACCUCCCCAAACCCAAUGUGAACGUUACCAAACUGUUGCCUCGGCGGGGUCACGCCCCGGGUGCAUCGCAGGCGCCCGCCGGAGGAACCAACCAAACUCUUUCUGUAGACCCUUACAACUUUGAGCAAAAAUUCAAAAUGAACCAAAACUUUCAACGACGGAUCUCUUGAUUUUG
rnacentral:misc_RNA from 1 species